UACGUAGGGGGCAAGCGUUGUCCGGAAUCAUUGGGCGUAAAGCGCGUGUAGGCGGUUCGGUAAGUCCGCUGUGAAAGUCGGGGGCUCAACCCUCGGAUGCCGGUGGAUACUGUCGGACUAGAGUACGGAAGAGGCGAGUGGAAUUCCUGGUGUAGCGGUGAAAUGCGCAGAUAUCAGGAGGAACACCGAUUGCGAAGGCAGCUCGCUGGGACGUUACUGACGCUGAGACGCGAAAGCGUGGGGAGCAAACAGG
rnacentral:rRNA from 1 species